GACGAACGCUGGCGGCGUGCUUAACACAUGCAAGUCGAACGAAGAGCGACGGAAGCUUGCUUCUAUCAAUCUUAGUGGCGCACGGGUGAGUAACGCGUAAUCAACCUGCCCUUCAGAGGGGGACAACAGUUGGAAACGACUGCUAAUACCGCAUACGAUCUAACCUCGGCAUCGAGGAUAGAUGAAAGGUGGCCUCUACAUGUAAGCUAUCACUGAAGGAGGGGAUUGCGUCUGAUUAGCUAGUUGGAGGGGUAACGGCCCACCAAGGCGAUGAUCAGUAGCCGGGCUGAGAGGAGGAACGGGCAAAUUGGGACUGAGACACGGCCCAGACUCCUACGGGGGGCAGCAGUGGGGAAUCUUCCGCAAUGGAGGAAAGUCUGACGGCGCAACGCCGCGUGGGUGAUGACGGCCUUCGGGUUGUAAGGCUCCGUUAAUCGGGACGAAAGGCCUUCUUGCGAAUAGUGAGAAGGAUUGACGGUACCGGAAUAGAAAGCCACGGCUAACUACGUG
rnacentral:rRNA from 1 species